rnacentral:rRNA from 1 species
GGGUCAGUAGGUUGGUCGUGCCACUGGUAUGCACUGGCCUUACUGAUUCCUCCUUCUUGAAGAACUGUGAUGUCAUUUACUUGGUGUUGCAGGGAAACAGGACUGUUACUUUGAAAAAAUUAGAGUGUUUAAAGCAGGCUAACGCUUGAAUACAUUAGCAUGGAAUAAUGAAAUAGGACCUGUGGUCUUGUUUUGUUGGUUUCUGAGACCGCGGUA